GAUUUCUGAACUAGUGUUUCUAGCCGGCCACGGUUUCGUGUGUUAGUGCCAGAACUACUGUUCAUCCUUUUACUCUAUACCUCGCUUAUCUUAACUGAUUGGCGGAUAUAGGUAAAUCUUUUACUUUGAACAAAUUAGAGUGUUUCAAGCAGGCUAUAUGCUAUGAAUACAUUAGCAUGGAAUAAUGAUUUAGGACUUCGGUUCUAUUUUGUUGGUUUCUAUUACUGAAGUAAUGAUUGAUAGGGACAGUUGGGGGUGCUAGUAUUCAGUGCGAAGAGGUGAAAUUCUUGGAUCCACUGAAGACUAACUUAAGCGAAAGCAUU
rnacentral:rRNA from 1 species